ensembl:lncRNA
AACCUGCAGGACACCGGCCCUGAGGCCUGGAUUUCCCCCACCCCUGGUUUAGAUGGAGGCCUUACACACUGUCUAACAUUUUUCAAUGCAACGAUGCAGUUAAAUGGAAACUUUGGAAAUGAAGUCCAUUCCUCGUCUGAAGCUUCCAAACAGAUGAACAGCCACUCCACUUCAUCCUCAGGGUCUCUCCAUAAAGGAACGUAACGAAACAUUGUGCUUCUCUUGGUUGCAAAGUUCUAACUGCUGAAAAAAGAGAGGCCUGCUGUUCUUCAAAGGAACCAGCCAUAACUCCUGGAGAGGACAGAGGCUCUGGAAUAUGCACAAUAUAUGCAAAGCAAUGCGGUGGACUUGUUUGAUUUUGUAUUAUGAUUGUUUGAUUUGAAGUGUUAAGCAUGUUACGAGUGUAGAUAUGAUAGUUAAAUAAACACACAUGAUGUGUUUUUGAUUAUUUUAUUUGGUGAAAAUGAGGCAAAUGUUCAGGAUUAUUGUACAAAACAACAGGACAGCAUUGUAGAAGUACCACAGCCAGGUGGAAAUUAAAUGUAGAGCCACAACUAUGUGGCUAAACAGAUGUUCUCUUGGCUUAAGGCCCAGAUAUCUGCUUGUUUUUUGGUUACAAAAAGUAGAUCCUUGCAGAGCAAUACAACAUACCAAAUCUUAGAACUCGUAAUUCCACUAAAACAGCUGUGAUGCAAAUACAUGUUUUUAACUGCUGUAUAUCAGUGUCGAGUUUAAGUUUGUUGUUUUGUUUCAUGUACAAAUGUCUUCUUUUUUAAUUUUUUAAUUUCCUUGGUUGAGUAUGUGAUUUUUGUUGCAGAUAACAUGGUGUCACUUAUGUUUUCAGCCCACAAUUUGAAUAAUAAUAAUAAUGAUAAUUUAAAAACUGCGAACAGCUUUUGAGUCGACGUUUUGAGUUUGCCAGUUUUCAUUUGGUCAAAAGUUAUUUGUCACUAUGCACCAUCUCAAGAGUAGUCUGGGCAAAUUCAGAGGACUCUCCUUUAAAAUACAAGUGUUGACUCAAGGCCUUAGUCACACAGGCCUAGAGACCCUUUUGCAAACCCCCGGCAGACUCUUGGUACCCUAACAGCUGGCGAGUCGUUCCUGGAGGUUGCUGAGUGAGAUGUGUCGCAAGGAGGGUGCUGCACCAAAAAUCUUUUGUCAUUGCUUUGGUCAUCAGCAUAUUAAUGCUAUCACUCAUUGUUUACACUGAAAAUGUUGAUUUGUAUGCUAGCACUUGUCAACUUGCCACUUUAACCAACACAUUUCAGAAGGCACAACUCUUACUUUAAAGGUAAAUGUUCUACAUUGUCCAGUUUGCACUUUUUCCACUUCUCUUUUUUAAUAUUACAGUACAGUGAAGAACAACAAGAAAGCAGAGGAGCGAGAGCAGGGAAGGCACAGGCCACAGGUCAGCCAUGCGGCAUAUGGGCGCCUGCUCAUCACAGUGCGCUAAACCGGCACCCCACUAUUCCCACUUUUUAUUGUUUGACUGACACUCGACAAGUAGUUGGCGACUGUUUGCAACAUCUUCUGUAUAAACUGCAGGGGAUCACAGCAAUCGAGAGACCAAAGCAAUAACAAGGUUUUUGUUGCAGCACCUUUUUGAUGACCAAUAUCAACAAGCAGCCACCCGGCUGGUGACGUGGACACCAGUGAAUGCGAUACCUCGAGAAUGAGGAGACGUAGGAGCUUCAAAUUAAUAACACACAGGUGUCUCUACUAAAAAUCUCCAACAGAGUUAAUCACUGCCUGGUCUUUAAGGCUCUGCUAUUUUAAUAUAUAUAUGUAUAUUUAUUUUACAGUGUUCAAAACUUUAUAUUUUGAACCCUACCCAAAGUUUUUCUCCAGUUUUAUACAUUCCUCAUGUAGUUUCACCAGUCCAGCCCACUUAAAAUCAAAGUGGGCUGUAUGUGGCCCACAGUUUAAAAAGAGUUUGACAUCCCUGCUCUAAGGCUUUAGCAGAUGUUUUCACAGAACAACAAGCAACCCAUUUUUCCCUAGCAACUGAUGGUUGCCAACCGGUCGCUAUCCCUGUGUGACCAGAGCCUAAGAUAGAAAUAGUGCAUUUUUUCCCUGUCAGUUUGGAAUCAGUAUUUUUCCUAAGGUCAGAAAUCUAAUUCAGUUACGUCGAGCACAGCAAUGCCAUCGAGUCCUCUAGCUCUGCUUCAGGUUAACAAACUGCUCCGUUGUAGUUUACAGUAAAUUCAGCAGAAUCUUUUUGACCAGUGAAACAGCACAACCAGAAACGGGACCCUAGUGUUUAUCUUGUAUUUUGUUAAUGAAAGGUCCUUGGCCAUUUUCCAAACUUUAGGUCCAGGAUUGAUGUGAAAAAUGAAUCUAGACUCACGCUCGUCAUCGAAGCCAGUCUUUAAAAAGGGUCUCAGAACAACCAGUGAACAAUGAAAAGUGCUGCAAUGUUUUUAUUUUUAUUUUAAAUCCAAGUUUAAAAUUUAAAUGCAACAAUUUGCCCUUAUGUUUUCAAUUAGAGCGCAGACAUCUGCACUUCUUUGGCAUUGUGCUAGUGAUGUAGCCAUUUAAUGCUGUGAUUUAUUUCUUUUAGAAGUAGAACUUGUAGCAAUGAGCAUUUCUACUGAUCCAAAACUCACCUCAGUCUCCAGUUGUUUUCAUGUGUUUCAUUGUUUGCAGAUUUUAGUAAGUUUACAUUUCAGUUCCUCCUUCUCAGUGUAUUCAUAUCCCAUAGAGACGUAGUCUAUGCAUUUAACUAAAAGCCAUCAACUUAUGGAUUCUUGGGAGAUUUUAAGACUCCAUAAUUAUGAAAGCACUGACUUUAAUCUGUGUGGAGAGAUUUUUCUUCUUUUUGAUAAAUAUUGUAAAUGAUAGUUUUAUUUAAUGGUCUUUGUUUGUUUGCGAUGAGUCGGAUUUCAACAAUUAAAAGUAUUUGAUAUUUGUAGUAGCAGAACAUGUUAAAAACAUGUUGAAUCUUCGUCACCUUUGAGGUCAGAGGUCAGGGUCAGCGGGUUGUGAUGCUCCCGCAGCAGGUAUCACUGAGCCUGUGUUUUGCAACGACCCUCUAACUGUAACUCCUGUUUGGCAUGAAGAGACAGGAAGCACUGAGAGAGGGAUAUUUACGCAAGUCUGAACUCUUAUGCAAACCUCCAGCUUACAGUUGAGCUCUCGCUGGGUUCAUUUUUGUGACUAUGUAAACAUGUUUCAUAGUUAUUAUGUUGGUUCAGAAUUUAUAUUUUCGACAGAUCAACAAUUUUUGUCUGACUGUAAAAUUCAAAUAAAGUUGGUUGAUGCCGAUCUGCGAUGGGUUUUUUUUCUCCCUCACACAUCAUCUUCAUUCAGAAGCCUCACGUCACUGUGUCACGUUCCUUCUCAGCACAGUUUAACUCAGCUCUCUUCUUCUAGUUUGCACAAUAUAUAUUCAAAUAAAGUACAAAGGAUUUUUUUUCCUGCUCUUUAAUAAACAAAAUGACAAAACUAAAUAACAAUUGGG